GGCGAGCUCUCCGGCAUCGCGGCGCAGGAGCUCUUCCUUUGGUUCCCGGUGCACGGGAUCCGUGUUGACGUCCCCAGCUCCGGGCUGAUCUACUUUGAUGUCGGAGUUGUUCACAAGCAGUUCUCUCUAUCGCUGUUUGAGUCUCCACCGGAGUGCGAGCCGGUGAAAGCCCUUGCCUCCGGCGAGGGCUCUCGUCUCGCCAGCAUCAUCGCUAAGAGCAAUUUAG
rnacentral:misc_RNA from 1 species